AUGCGUCUAUUUAACGACUGCAUUGCGGACCUUGCGCUCCAUGAGAUAGCCCGCGUAGGGGCUAGGUUCACGUGGACGAAUAAGCAGGCGGACCCCAUCCGGAGUGUUUUGGAUCAGGUAUUUGUGUCGGCUCAGUGGGAAGUGAUGUUCCCAUUGUGCUCUCUCAAGGCGGUCACUCGGAUUGUCUCCGACCAUACCCCCCUGCUUUUCUCGUCGGGCGAUGUGUCUCCCCCUAGGACCCGCCGUUUCCGCUUUGAGACUUUUUGGCUGGAGCAGCCGGGCUUCUUUGAGUUGGUGCGUGACCGCUGGCUAGAGGCGGUCGCGUCCCCACCCCGUGUGUUUUGUGCUGUGGAUGUGUGGCAUCACUGUGCUAAAUUGUCUCGUCAGGCCAUGAAGGGCUGGGGGAACCUUGGUGCUGAGCUGCGAUCCCGUAAGGGGACCCUGCUGGAUCAGAUUAAGGUUUUGGAUGACCUUGCUGAUAGGCAGGGCCUGUCUCCUGACGACUGGCUUAGGAGAUACGGCCUCGAGGCCUCGCUCAUGGACAUCUACAAGAGCGAGGAG
rnacentral:rRNA from 1 species